AGGCGAAACGCCCUUCGGGGUGUCCGGCCGGCUUGGGUUGCCGACCGCUGAUGAGCCAGCCUGCU
rnacentral:hammerhead_ribozyme from 1 species